rnacentral:rRNA from 1 species
CGCUGGCGGCACGCUUAACACAUGCAAGUCGAAACGGAGAAUAUCGAAGCUUGCUUUGAUAUCUUAGUGGCGGACGGGUGAGUAACACGUGAGUAACCUGCCUCUGAGAGUGGGAUAGCUUCUGGAAACGGAUGGUAAUACCGCAUGAAAUCAUAGUAUCGCAUGGUACAAUGAUCAAAGAUUUAUCGCUCAGAGAUGGACUCGCGUCUGAUUAGCUAGUUGGUAAGGUAACGGCUUACCAAGGCGACGAUCAGUAGCCGGACUGAGAGGUUGAUCGGCCACAUUGGGACUGAGACACGGCCCAGACUCCUACGGGAGGCAGCAGUGGGGAAUAUUGCACAAUGGGGGAAACCCUGAUGCAGCGAUGCCGCGUGGAGGAAGAAGGUUUUCGGAUUGUAAACUCCUGUUGAAGAGGACGAUAAUGACGGUACUCUUUUAGAAAGCUCCGGCUAACUACGUG